rnacentral:tRNA from 1 species
GCCAGUUUAGCUCAGUGGCAGAACAUCAGUCUUGUAAACUGAAAGUCGGGGGUUCGAUCCUCCCAACUGGCU